AAAAGAUUAAUUCUGUUACAUCAUAACCAUAUAAAGUUAUCCCAACAAUAUAAUAUUGGCUUAACAUUUGACAAUCUCUGUAACUUAUGGGUUGCAUGAUACCCCCCAGAAAGAUUCAUUGAAGUCUUAACCACUAGUGCCCAGGAAUGUGACUUUAUUUGUAAAUAAGGUCUUUGCAGACAUAAUCAAUUUGGGAUAGUCAUUAGGGAAGAGCUACUCUCAUACAACUGUCUUUUUUUUCAUCCAGUACUGGAGAUUGACCCAAGGUAUCAUGCAUACUAAGUAAGAGCUCUUCUCUAUGAGAAGAAACACACUCCCAUGGGAAGAUAGAGACACUCAAGGAAAAAGCCUUGUGGUGACAGAGGCAGAGAUUGGAGUGAUGUGGCCACAAGCCAAAGAAUGCCAAAACUGAUGUCCAGCACUGGAGACUAGGAAAGGAAAGGCAAAUAAUCUACACCAACAGAAGCAGAUCAGUGGUUGUCUAAAGAAGACCAAAAUGGAAAACUGGGAUGGGGUGCUGAAGAAUGUGAUUACAACAAAGAACACAGGAACUUCCAAAAGUCACAGCUGUUGCAUCAGAAUGAGCUGCAGAAGAGCAAGUGACCCAGGUUUGUCUCACUGCGCCACCUGCAACCUACCUGUGAAGCGGAUAAUCCCCCUGGGCCCUUGCUGACUGGAAGGCCAUCAAUAUCACAUGGAGAAAGUGGCAGCACUCUAGGCAAGGUGAAGAGGUAAACAGCCCACCCAGAAGACCCACAGCUGCUCCCCCAGAAAGACAAUGUUCACUUUUCUUGUGAUCAUGACCUUCCAACCUGGGGACUGCUGAGAACAGAUUGGAACAUGUAGGCAUCUUUAGACUCUGUGAAAGGAGCUAAGCCACCUUCUCUUCCCACCAUUUGCCCACUGUACUUACUGGUCUUAUUCAUUCAUUAAGUAGAGGAGAUCCAGCCUAGGAGUCCACAAAAAUACUCUCAUAUAUAAUACAAUGUAUUUACCAUAAUGCCAACACAGAGCGUGUAUUUGAAUCCAGAGCCUUAUAUGUUGCAUUAGGCAAGCACUCUACCACCAAGCUCUCUCUCCAGCUGUGUGUGUGUGUGUGUGUGUGUGUGUGUGUGUGUGUGUGUGUGUGCAUGUAUGUGUUACUGGGACUUGACUGCAGGGCUUUCACACUGACCUACAUUCUCAGCCCUCUUUUCCUCCUCCUCCUCCUCUUCCUCCUCCUCUUUUUCUCCAUCUCUUUAUUUUCUCCUCCUCCUCCAUCUCCAUCUCCAUCUCGAGCUCCAGCUCCAUCUCCGGCUCCAGCUCUUCCUCCUCCUGCUCCUGCUCCUUCUCUUUCUUUUUCACUGUCACUAUGCCCAUGCUGGGUUCAAACUUGGGAUUCUCUUGCCUUAGCUUCCCACAGAUUAUAUCUCACCACAUCCAACUCCCAGAACUUUUAAAAAACUAUUUAUGUUGAGACAGGGUCUUGCUAAAUUAUCUGGGCUUGCCUGGAAGUUUUGAUUCUCCUGCCUCAACCUUUGAUGAAGCUGGCAUUACAAGCAUGCACCACCAUGCUGGCUAAGUUUUAUCUUUUUAAUGGGGAGGACCACAAAGACAAAGUUGCCACAGGCCCACAAAAAAACAUGAAGUAGUUCUGAUCAUUUAUCCUCUAUCAGUUUCAUUGUUUCCUUCAAUGAAAUGAUCAAGGUGGAUUGUGGAUUCUCCUCUUCAUCAUUCUGGCACAGGAAACUGGGAUUUUUGGAAUGAAAAUAGCUAGAACCAUGAAGUUAAACUGAGACCUCCCUCCUCCGAGCAGAAUCAGGCAGAUGGAGCCAUGCUUAGCAGGGAGCAGAAAUUGCUUUCUUUAAUUGCCCACACAAAUAACCAUUACCACACUGGAAAGAUAAAAAGCAAAAACUCUAGACAAUAACUUGGCAUAUCCCCUUUUGUUAGAAAUUAUUAUCCCCUCAUUCUAUAUAAUAAGGUUUUUAGGAAAUAUGAACACUUCCUUUCAAAUC